UACGAAGGGGGCUAGCGUUGCUCGGAAUCACUGGGCGUAAAGGGGGCGUAGGCGGGUUCUUAGGUCAGAGGUGAAAUCCUGGAGCUCAACUCCAGAACUGCCUUUGAUACUGAGAGUCUUGAGUUCGGGAGAGGUGAGUGGAACUGCGAGUGUAGAGGUGAAAUUCGUAGAUAUUCGCAAGAACACCAGUGGCGAAGGCGGCUCACUGGCCCGAUACUGACGCUGAGGCACGAAAGCGUAGGGAGCAAACAGG
rnacentral:rRNA from 1 species